rnacentral:rRNA from 1 species
GACGAACGCUGGCGGCGUGCUUAACACAUGCAAGUCGAACGGAAAGGCCCUGCUUUUGUGGUGUGCUCGAGUGGCGAACGGGUGAGUAACACGUGAGUAACCUGCCCUUGACUUUGGGAUAACUUCAGGAAACUGGGGCUAAUACCGGAUAGGAGCUCCUGCUGCAUGGUGGGGGUUGGAAAGUUUCGGCGGUUGGGGAUGGACUCGCGGCUUAUCAGCUUGUUGGUGGGGUAGUGGCUUACCAAGGCUUUGACGGGUAGCCGGCCUGAGAGGGUGACCGGCAACAUUGGGACUGAGAUACGGCCAAGACUCCUACGGGAGGAAGAAGUGGGGAAUAUUGCAAAAUGGGCGGAAGCCUGAUGCAGCAACGCCGCGUGCGGGAUGACGGCCUUCGGGUUGUAAACCGCUUUCGCCUGUGACGAAGCGUGAGUGACGGUAAUGGGUAAAGAAGCACCGGCUAACUACGUG